UUCUCAGUGGUUAAAACACUUUAAGAGGUCACACUUCCCAGUGUCUGCUACUUGGAAGAACUUGGGAGGAAUUAAGGGCAGGACAGAGGGGAAACGGAUCAGGCUCAGUCUCUUGUUCCUUUAUUCUUCCAUCCCAGGUGCUCUAAGUCACUGAGGUAGCCCAAGUUCACUAUCCAUCCCCGUCCCCUUCCUCCCGUGGACACAGGACACGAAGUGCCAUGUUUCCACGGCUCUUAGUCUUCGGAACUCAGCCAACCCUGGAGGCCUGCCGACUAACACCCUGAGUCCGUGUCCGGAGAAGGUGUGAGAAUGAUUUGUGACUUACAGUUGAGAAGCUCUCAUCCACAUAUUCUCCUGUGUGGUUGUCUACCUGGGAGGAGGAAAAACAAGAAGGGGGACGGGGGCAUCUCUCUCCUCUGAAGUAAAAAGGUGAGAUUCUCCAGUAAAUAAAUGACUCCAAACAAACUAACAAGUCAGAAUGAGCAGAUUAUUCUUUCCUCUUCAGCCAUGCAGGUAAGUUGCAAGUAAAAUGCAGAUAGAGAUUUUAAUGUAGGGUUUCUGUCUUUCCUAGUGGGCUGGUUAUAGAAUAAAAAGGGAGUAUUUGUUUUGCUGCAUCAAAACAUCCUUCCUGCUAGUUGUUUUCUUUUAAAUGGGCAUAUCAGGAAAUGAUCUGUUCUCCACAUGAAAUUAAUAAGGAUGUGGGGCAGCUAUAGACUG
rnacentral:lncRNA from 1 species